rnacentral:lncRNA from 1 species
UGAAAGAAAAAAGGUUGCCACAAUUGCAACUAAGGACUUGUUUAGCCUAACUGUUGGAGAAGUGAUAAUCAAUUUUGGUUUGAAGAAUUGAUUUUGGUUAAAACUAGUAGAGCAUCUAGCUAAGUCUAAAUGAAAAAAAAAUAUUUUUUUGAAGUGUGAGAUUUUAAUUAGAGCCAAUCGCCAGCCAACUAAAAAAUGCUGAGCUAGGGUCAUUCAAAAGUCAGUUAAGACUAGCAAGACAUUUAGAGGGAAUGUAGCUAGGUCCAAGAGGUUAAAAGGGUUGAGCGAGCUUAGGGCAUCAGAGUCAUCACUAGCAGAAAAGUGUGAUGUGAAUUUCGGCUGAGUCAUGAUCAAACAAUGCACAAAAACGAGGCUUUCUGGCUGAAUAUCAUUAUGGGUGGAGCAUGGGUUUCCACAAGGUCUACUAAGGCAGUCGGUUAAAGGAUAGCGCCCAGGAAAUUAAGAGAGUUGAAUGAAUUUAGGGCUAUAGUAAUUUUAGGAUGGGUAACUCCCUGGUAAGCGCGACUUCAUAAUAUAGGUGAGAUUUUCUAAUUUUUCAAUCCAAAACCAAAUUAAAAUUUUUUA